UGAACGCUGGCGGCAUGCCUUACACAUGCAAGUCGAACGGCAGCACGGGUGCUUGCACCUGGUGGCGAGUGGCGAACGGGUGAGUAAUACAUCGGAAUGUACCUUGUAGUGGGGGAUAGCUCGGCGAAAGCCGGAUUAAUACCGCAUACGCUCUGAGGAGGAAAGCGGGGGACCUUCGGGCCUCGUGCUACAAGAGCAGCCGAUGUCAGAUUAGCUUGUUGGUGAGGUAAAAGCUCACCAAGGCGACGAUCUGUAGCUGGUCUGAGAGGACGACCAGCCACACUGGGACUGAGACACGGCCCAGACUCCUACGGGAGGCAGCAGUGGGGAAUUUUGGACAAUGGGCGAAAGCCUGAUCCAGCAAUGCCGCGUGUGUGAAGAAGG
rnacentral:rRNA from 1 species